CUCCAAGCCAAUCUCCAGGUUUAGUGUUGCACAAUUCCCCUAAUUCUGAAUCUCCCUAGCCAGGCUUCAGCUUCAGGACUGUUCUGAAUCUCCCUGGUCAGGUUUCACCUUCAGGAAUGUUCUGAAUCUCCCUGGUCAGGUUUCACCUUCAGGACUGUUCUGAAUCUCCCUGGUCAGGUUUCAGCUUCAGGACUGUUCUGAAUCUGAAGACGAUCCAAACAGGGUUCCAUGAGAAAUUGGGAGUCCACCCCUCCAUUUUCUAAAGCUCCGCCUCUAUCAAAUUGUUCUGUUUGGCUCAGUUGGUAGAACAUGGCACUUGUAACACCAGGGUUGCGGGUUGGAUUCCCGCUGGGAUCACCCAUAGUUUCUACACGCUACUGUAAGUGUUUGUUUCUAGCUUUGAGGC
ensembl:lncRNA